rnacentral:rRNA from 1 species
CCUACGGGUGGCAGCAGUGAGGAAUAUUGGUCAAUGGACGAGAGUCUGAACCAGCCAAGUAGCGUGAAGGAUGACUGCCCUAUGGGUUGUAAACUUCUUUUAUAUGGGAAUACAAUGUUCUACGUGUGGGAUUUUGUAUGUACCAUAUGGAUAAGGCUCGGCUAACUCCGUGCCAGCAGCCGCGGUAAUCCGGAGGAUCCGAGCGUUAUCCGGAUUUAUUGGGUGUAAAGGGAGCGUAGGUGGAUUGUUAAGUCAGGUGUGAAAGGUAGCGGCUCAACCGUAAAAUUGCAGUUGAAACUGGCAGUCUUGAGUACAGUAGAGGUGGGCGGAAUUCGUGGUGUAGCGGUGAAAUGCUUAGAUAUCACGAAGAACUCCGAUUGCGAAGGCAGUUCACUGGACUGCAACUGACACUGAGGCUCGAAAGUGAGGGUAUCAAACAGGAUUAGAUACCCGAGUAGUC